rnacentral:rRNA from 1 species
UACGUAGGGUGCGAGCGUUGUCCGGAGUUAUUGGGCGUAAAGAGCUUGUAGGCGGUUUGUCGCGUCUGCCGUGAAAAUCCGAGGCUCAACCUCGGACUUGCGGUGGGUACGGGCAGACUAGAGUGUGGUAGGGGAGACUGGAAUUCCUGGUGUAGCGGUGAAAUGCGCAGAUAUCAGGAGGAACACCGAUGGCGAAGGCAGGUCUCUGGGCCACUACUGACGCUGAGAAGCGAAAGCAUGGGGAGCGAACAGG